UAGUUUGGGAAAUCCUAAAUGAUUUUUCUUGGAAAGGAGUUGUUGGAGGAAAAGAAACUUCUUUCUGGCUUGAAGCAUGGUUGGAUAAAGAUACCUUACUUAUUAAUCAUUGUGAGACAAGCAUAGAGGAGAAGUUUUUUCCAUUCCCAUUCCC